ACUCAAAGGAAUUGACGGGGGCUCACACAAGCGGUGGAGCAUGUGGCUUAAUUCGAGGCUACGCGCAAAACCUUAUCCUGGGCUUGACAUGCACGGAUUAGCCGGCGGAAACGGCGGCGAGGCCUUCGGGUACAACGUGCACAGGUGCUGCAUGGCUGUCGUCAGCUCGUGCCGUGAGGUGUCGGGUUAAGUCCCUUAACGAGCGAAACCCCUGCCCCUAGUUGCCAGCGCGUCAUGGUGGGCACUCUAGGGGGACCGCCGGCGUGAAGCCGGAGGAAGGCGGGGACGACGUCAAGUCAUCAUGGCCCUUAUGCCCAGGGCUGCACACGUGCUACAAUGGGGUGCAACAAAGCGUUGCCAGACCGCAAGGUCGCGCUAAUCGCAAAAACCACCCCUCAGUUCGGAUUGCGGGCUGCAACCCGCCCGCAUGAAGCUGGAAUCGCUAGUAAUCGUGGAUCAGCAUGCCACGGUGAAUGGGUUCCUGAGCCUUGUACACACCGCCCGU
rnacentral:rRNA from 1 species